UCUUAUGUACAUGCUUACAACAUAGAGGUUAAUUCCUAAGAUCCCAUUAGAACUUUGCAAUUAAGUGUGCUCGGGCUAGAGUAGUACUAGGAUGGGUGGCUUCUUGGGAUGUCCUAGUGUUUUACAAGCC
rnacentral:rRNA from 1 species